UACAGAGGUCCCAAGCGUUGUUCGGAUUUAUUGGGCGUAAAGGGCUCGUAGGCGGUUUGUCGCGUCGGGAGUGAAAUCCACUGGCUUAACUGGUGGCUUGCUUUCGAUACGGGCAGACUGGAGGUAUGCAGGGGAGAACGGAAUUCCUGGUGUAGCGGUGAAAUGCGCAGAUAUCAGGAGGAACACCGGUGGCGAAGGCGGGUCUCUGGGCCGAUACUGACGCUGAGGAGCGAAAGCGUGGGGAGCGAACAGG
rnacentral:rRNA from 1 species